rnacentral:rRNA from 1 species
UACGUAGGUGGCAAGCGUUGUCCGGAAUUACUGGGUGUAAAGGGCGUGUAGGCGGGAAGGCAAGUCAGAUGUGAAAUCCCAGGGCUUAACUCUGGAGCUGCAUCUGAAACUGUUUUUCUUGAGUACUGGAGAGGAAAGUGGAAUUCCUAGUGUAGCGGUGAAAUGCGUAGAGAUUAGUAGGAACACCAGUGGCGAAGGCGGCUUUCUGGACAGUAACUGACGCUGAGGCGCGAAAGCGUGGGGAGCAAACAGGAUUAGAUACCCUGGUA